GAUAAGGAAUACCACUAAGUCAACAGUGUCUGAAAGAUCCUGCAGAAAUGUGUGCGCCCUUAUCUGAGAGGACAUGGAGAGAGUGUCGCAAACUCGAGUUGACAGGUAACCCUACUGGAGUCGCCAAUAGUAACCGGUGGCUUCUCAGCUUCAGUGUGUUGAUGGGCACAGCCAUUGUUACCACAGCUGGAGUUGGUAUACGCGGAGCUGUGAGAGGACAGAGAUGGCGAACGGACAUUUAACUAUUUAACAGGAGAUACGUUAUGACUAAUAGACGACUACUGUUUAAAUGAUGUCUUUGCAGCCCUUAUGGCACACGUUACACAACUUUUCUUCAUGCCAGCAAGACUGAGGUGCCCACAUAGUUGACACAUACAACUGAUUAUGAAUGCAUAUUUUACUAUUCCUAUUUUCACAUCAUCUCCUUGGCUUUAUUAGUGAAAGCCUGGAGAUACUCUGACUUGUGCAUGGCUGAUGUGAAGUAUGAUUAGUACUACAUGACUUACACCAUCAACAACAGAGGCAAUGAAAGCUUUGUUGUUAACAGGUUGGAUGGUAAAGUCAAAUUUCUAAUUCUACACUUGUGUUCGGUAAAGUUAUUCUCACUGCAGCAGAUUUAUAUCUGUGGUUUCACAGGGCGUGAUGUGGACCUCAGCGCUGAGGUGCAGGAGAAUUUCAUUCAGUUCUCCCUACAAACCAGCAUCCAGCCUGAAAAUAUUGUCAUCUUUCCCAAAAAUGGUCCUCUUAUCUCAGAGAAGACGUUUGAUGUAAAAUAACUGCAAUCAACAGUGAUGUUAUGCACAGAUCACUUUUCCAUUUUCCUCUCUCUGGAUGAGUGCCCAGCUGCCUAACCUUGUGUCCAGGUGAUCAUCCUACUGAGGGGCUUUUACUGUUCUGAAAAUCUCACGUCCAUGACCUGUUUCCUUUUUACUUUACUAUCUCUGCUCUUUCUUUAUUAAGAAUGCUCAUAAUGUCACAAAAUUAUAUUCAUCACUUGC
ensembl:lncRNA